AGCGAACGUUUGCGGCGGGCUUAACACAUGCAAGUCGAACGGGCUGUUCCUUCGGGGGCAGUCAGUGGCGCACGGGUGCGUAACACGUAGGUAAUCAACCCUCUGGUUGGGGAUAACACUUCGAAAGGAGUGCUAAUACCCGGUAUGGCGCAGCGGUCUUCGGAUCGCGGCGAGAAAGACCCGCAAGGGUUGCCAGAGGACGAGCCUGCGGCCCAUCAGCUAGUUGGCGAGGUAACGGCUCACCAAGGCGAAGACGGGUAGCUGGUCUGAGAGGAUGAUCAGCCACACUGGAACUGAGACACGGUCCAGACUCCUACGGGAGGCAGCAGUGGGGAAUAUUGCGCAAUGGGCGAAAGCCUGACGCAGCAAUGCCGCGUGAGUGAUGAAGGCCUCGG
rnacentral:rRNA from 1 species